AUUGAACGCUGGCGGCAUGCCUUACACAUGCAAGUCGAACGGUAACAGGUCUUCGGAUGCUGACGAGUGGCGAACGGGUGAGUAAUACAUCGGAACGUGCCUAGUAGUGGGGGAUAACUACUCGAAAGAGUGGCUAAUACCGCAUGAGAUCUACGGAUGAAAGCAGGGGAUCGCAAGACCUUGUGCUACUAGAGCGGCCGAUGGCAGAUUAGGUAGUUGGUGGGAUAAAAGCUUACCAAGCCGACGAUCUGUAGCUGGUCUGAGAGAACGAUCAGCCACACUGGGACUGAGACCCGGCCCAGAAUCCUACGGGAGGCAGCAGUGGGGAAUUUUGGACAAUGGGCGCAAGCCUGAUCCAGCAAUGCCGCGUGCAGGAUGAAGGCCUUCGGGUUGUAAACUGCUUUUGUACGGAACGAAAAGCCCUGGGUUAAUACCCUGGGGUCAUGACGGUACCGUAAGAAUAAGCACCGGCUAACUACGUGCCAGCAGCCGCCGUAACAC
rnacentral:rRNA from 1 species